AUUUAACCUUUGGGCUCCUGUCAUUAUGUUUUCGCAGGUUGACUCAGUACUGAGAGUAUCGCAUGGAGUGCAUCACUCUCCACAGGACUUCUCCAAGUUAGCUGGAGUUCGGUGGUUAACGCUGAGAUGGACUCCCUAUGGUUAACGUUUCAUCAUUCGUUCCUGGUUUUGUCCCUGUUCUCGGACGUCCUCUGGUCAAGUAUCCGGAUGGACUUUGGGCCGUUGCCCUUCUAGUUCUGGACUGUUCCUGGUUUCCUGUUUGCUGUUGGCGGGUAGCAUCUCCAAAGAAAGAGGAAUGGGGUGGGGAGGUGCUGCCUAUUAUACUGGG